rnacentral:lncRNA from 1 species
AUAUGAAACUCAGUUUAUUUAGCUUUUGUUUUCUCUAGCAGCUCUAUACUACUGUUUAUAGUAUUGUAUAUUUACAGGUACAGCUGUCGCUUCGUGAAUAGAGAAAAUUUUUUUGUAUACGGCGGAUUUGUCGGCGUGCCCGGAGAACGAGACAUCCGGGGCGUGACAGAUUAAGUUGGUAUCAGAGUUUUGCUGUAGGUCGUUGGGACAUAGGAAACCUAAGUUUGGCAAACCUUAGGGAAGGCAAGACGCGAGAGGCGUAAUUUAAUUGCGAAAGUUAAUGAUUAUUUGUUCUAACUCCUCCUAGAGUGGAGUGAGUGACUGAAGGAGUUCCUGUUUUGGCCUGAGAAAUUAUGUUGGCUGC